ACCUGCCCUAUGAUAUAGAUUAAAUGGCCGCGAUAUUUUGAUCGUGCAAAGGUAGCAUAAUCAUUAGUUUCUUAAUUAGGAACUGGAAUGAAAGGUUGAACGAAAAAAAAACUGUCUCAAUUUAAUUUUUUUAGAAUUUUAUUUUUAAGUAAAAAAGCUUAAAUAUUUUUAAAAGACGAGAAGACCCUAUAGAGUUUUAUAUUUAGAUAAUUUUUAAAAAAAUAUAGUAUAUAAUUUUUAUUAUUUAAUAAGUAUUUAGUUGGGGUGACUAAAAAAUUUAAUAAACUUUUUUUAAUUUAAAACAUUUAUAUAUGAAAAAUUGAUCCAUUAAUUAUGAUUAAAAGAUUAAAUUA
rnacentral:rRNA from 1 species